UUAAGUUCAGCGGGUCUUCCUACCUGAUCCGAGGUCAACCUUUGGGUACCUUCGAGAAGGUGGGUUUCACGGCCGGAACCCGCCGCACGCCCUGAGCGAGACAAAGAUAUGCUACUACGCUCGGUGUGGACAGCGAGCCCGCCACUGGUUUUCAGGGCCUGCGGGUGUGCCACAGGUCCCCAACACAAGCCGGGGGCUUG
rnacentral:misc_RNA from 1 species